GCUCGCUUCAGCAGAACAUACACUAAAAUUGGAAUGAUACAAAAAAGAUUAACAUGGCCCUGUGCAAUGACGACAAGCAAAUUCAUGAAGAAUUCUGUAUUUAA